rnacentral:rRNA from 1 species
UGGGGAAUAUUGCACAAUGGGCGAAAGCCUGAUGCAGCGACGCCGCGUGAGGGAUGACGGCCUUCGGGUUGUAAACCUCUUUCAGCAGGGACGAAGCGCAAGUGACGGUACCUGCAGAAGAAGCACCGGCUAACUACGUGCCAGCAGCCGCGGUAAUACGUAGGGUGCAAGCGUUGUCCGGAAUUACUGGGCGUAAAGAGUUCGUAGGCGGUUUGUCGCGUCGUUUGUGAAAACCAGCAGCUCAACUGCUGGCUUGCAGGGGAUACGGGCAGACUUGAGUACUGCAGGGGAGACUGGAAUUCAUGGUGUAGCGGUGAAAUGCGAAGAUAUGAGGAGGAACACCGGUGGCGAAGGGGGGUCUCUGGGCAGUAACGGACGCUGAGGAACGAAAGCGUGGGUAGCGAACAGG